GUGGGCGCCCUGUGGAGGUGCCCGAGGGGUGGGUGCUGGACGGAGGGGUUCUCUAGGCCCGUCUGUUCGGCUUUGCAGUCAGAGCAAUGGGCACUCUUCCCAUGAGAAGCCCUUCCCGUCCCCGCCGCCCCUUGAGGUGUGAGGUGGCUGUAAAGAUGGCCUCCAGCACGCCCACACCAAUCGCGUGUGGCCAUCAAGCACAUUGCAAAGGUUUUCUUUUGGCCAGAUGUUCUUCAGAUUCUAAUUAUAGUAUCGUCACCGCGUGUAAAUUCCUAUGAAAUCUAUAAGAUCUAUAUUUGUUUAAAUUUAUGUCAAAAAAAUGCUUUUCGGAUCAAGCCAAGGGGGAAAUAAAGUUUUGCCGUGGCAUUAAGACAAGUACCUCUGUUAUAGGCCCACUAGAUGAACUGGUAACACAAGAGAGUAGGACAGGAAGAAAACAGAAGCGAGCAACUUAAUAGUUAGGAAAUCAGAUGGCUGUAAGAUUAAGGAGAUUAGUGGAAUCCAUCAAGAGCAGUUUGAUGUCAGUAGGUUGAUGUAAGAGGAAUGAAGGAACGAGUCUUCCUUCUUGAGGGAAGUCAUGUCAGUGUGCUGGCUCCUCAGAUUCAAAAUGCAGGUUUUAAAAACAGAAAGGGCAUAGAGAAGAUGUAGAAAUAGUAUCGAUGGUGUUUAAAAGUUAUGUUUGUACUGUUUGAUACAGUAGUCUCACAGAAUUAACUAUUUCCUUCAUAUCCUUUUCAGUCAUCUGAUAAACACAUUAUCUUCUACCGCUCUAAAGGUUCCUACCCUUACCCUACCCUUCCAAAGCUGUCUGUACCUAUCCUUAUCCUCUGGUAGCCCAGGAACCAGUCGAUAGUCCCAAUGCGAAACUGUAUUCUAGGAAAAUGCAUCUAUUCAUGGGCUGUUAAUGAGACUUUGUUUGCACUAGCAUCAUGUGAUGCAGUCACCACGGUUAUGUUACAGAAAGGGUAAGAAUAAUACACCUCACAUCCACACGGACGUGUGCUCGGGCAGCAGAGCCACUUGUAUAAAUUAAUUUUAAGAAAAGUCAGCAACCGUAUAUUUUUCCAUUACUCCAGUCUUUUCUUCUGCGAACAUGAGCCAAAUUUGCUUCUGUAACUGCAUUGUAGAGACUUUUUUUUUCCCCUGAGGAUUUAGCACUGUGUUUAAUCACAGCUUAUGAAGUCUAUCUAGUUUGUUUUUUUUCUACUUCGCUGCACUGGCACAAAAUGGCUGUAGGAGCCAUUCUUCUGUAGAGGCAGUCUGCACACUGUAGUCCUGGAGUAUUUUAAAUAGUAAGCACAUAAGCACGCUUUCCUAUGUUUUUAGUUUGGCCAGAUAACACUGCUGAUACAGUAAUGUCUUAUAGAGACUAAAAACCAUUUAGGAUCAGCUGAGAAAAGUUACAUCUUUGCCUGUGCAAAGCAAUGAUUGAUACACUGCACUUAUUACCAGUGCUCAGAGUUACAUUAGGUUAAGGCAAGGAUGAACUAGCGCAAGACUUUAACAUUUAUAUGGUGUUUAGACACUAUUCCACAACCCCUGCAAAUCACAGAAUUACAGAAUUUUAAGGGUUGGAAGGGACCUCUGAUGACUGUCCAACUGAAGCAGGUUCCCUACAGUAGGUAGCAGAGGAAGAGAAGCAGACCCCACAGCCUCUCUGGGCAGCCUGUCCCAGAGCCCUAUCACCCUCAAAGGAUUUCUUCUUAUGUUCAGAUGGAACUUCCUCUGUUCCAAUUUGUACCUAUUGGCCAUUGUCCUGUUACUUGGCACCAUUGAAAGAGCCUGGCUCCAUCCAUCUGAUAUGCACCCUUUAGAUAUUUAUAAGCAUUGAUAAGAUCCCCUCUCAGUCUUCUCCAGGCUGAACAGUCUCAAGUCUCUCAGCCUUUCCUCAUAAGGGAGAUGCUCCAGGCCUCUCAUUGUAAUUCCAUUGUGUCCGUCCCCAUCGAAACAAGUAGGACACGGAAGAAGAAGAGGAACUGAUGCAUAAAGACAAGAUAAACUUAUGACAACAGAAAAACCCACAAGAACUAGAACAAAAUCAUACCCCUUCCCACAAUGGUUGGACAGAGCACUGUAAAAUAUCAGUAUCAAUUCUCCCUUUCCACACCAAGGACUACACGGUGACCUUGCAGACCAAGUUAAGUGAACACAGCCUUCAAAGCAGUGGUCUGCUGGGGGCAUUCCCAGUCAAAUUCACCAAUCCCAUCAACAUCUGUACGGAGCAGACAUUGCUCCCCAGAAGUUAUUUUCCUUUUUGUCACUGUCUUAGCUGGAAUUAGCACGCACAGUAAAACACCAUCACACCUUUCUCCCGGGAAACAUUUGUCACAUCUAGGCCAGAGAAGAUGAAGAAUACGUUCUUCCUUAUUUUAAAGUGAGGUGCCAAGUGCUGAUGCUUUCCAUUAAGUGUUUGAUAUAGGUUUCAGAGUACUUCCCUCAGGGAAAACCAUUGCUCUGUAACAUUCAGAGGAAGGUAUAACAAGGAGAGUGGAGCAAAAACUGAGAUCCUAUCGGAGUCUACACACUUUCAAAAAUCUACAUUUGCCUUGAAUGCCUUGGGACAGCUUUUCAGAAGCUACAUAAGAAGUGCUUCUUGCUUCACAUCUCCACGUGCUUCGGGAGUUCACGUUGGAGGCAAUAUUAAGUUCUGAAACUUAAAGCCUUUUGGGAUGCACAGGCAUUCUUAGCACGGUUGGAGAGGCAUCCUGAAUGCAGUGGAAAUUAUACAUUAGAGCGAGAGCUUGGAAGUGAGGGAGCAAACUCAAAGAUCAGGGCAGCUGCAGGCAAGGAUGGAGCAGAGCUACACACACGUAUCCUACUGUUAUCAAUUAAUGGGUUCAUCUCUCUAGGGCAGAAAUAGACUUACUGAAGUGCCAUGAGCCAUGGAAACCAAAGGAGUUCGGGCAGUCACCAGGCGCAGUGCAAUCCUAAUCCUUGUUAGUUUGUUCCUACCUGAAGGUUUUAAAGAGGAAAAACUCUUCAAGUCUAAAUGUAUCUUUUGUUUCGAGGCACUUACCUGGGUCUGAGAACAUCAAUACUCUGCUGCUCUAAGUGUAUCAGCCUGAUGCUUCCAUUGCUUUUAUAUCCCUUUUAUCUUCCUCUGUCUACAUUUUCUUUGUUGCCAUUGCCCACUUGACUUAGAAACAAGUUCUUUCUGACUGCCCCUGAGGUUUUCACACAAUGUCUAACGCAAAAUAGCAACGCUAAAAUGUCUAUUUGUUUUUGCAUAUCUCCUGAUCCAUUCACCACAACCGAAUUAUUUCUAGUGAGUUUACAUUUGGGAUGAGCAAAAUCGCAUUUGGGAUGAGAAAAAUAACAAGAUGAAGCGUUUACAUCCAAGUGAUGUUUUGGAGUUAAAAUCAGCUGUGGUGCAGUACUAGAACAAGCCAAAGUGAAGCCCUUCAAUGAUGAAACUUUGUCUCCUAGAAGUUGUACUGAAGACUUCUUAGGCACUGUUCACUGCUGAACUUUGGGGAUUGCCUUAGUUAAGCAUGUCCCAUCUCCUCACAGCUACAAGAUGUUGGGUGACACAGAUCUGAUCUCCUCCAACCACCUGAGCACUCUCUGUCUGUGGGCCUUUUGGGACACAUGUCAUAGUUGUGUCCCGGAAUUCCACAGGGAUGCUGAUACAAAGCUUGUAUCCUCGCUGCUAUUUUCAUUGACACUCAGCAGAGAAGAGCUUGGCUUUGACAAGUCUGGGUGAGAUGGGAGGCAAUGAGAAAUGAGACAAGAGAGAAAAAAAGAAGAAGGAGAUGUUUUGGAAUGGGACAGGAGGGCCAGCGAGUUGGUGCUGCAGACAUGGAGUCAUGCAUUCCAGAGGAUCAGCAGCAGAAUCUCAUGCUAUAUUACUUACUGUCCCAUUUAGGGCCAAAUAUUUGGUCAAGUGUUAGUUUUCCUUUCCUUAUAGUCUUGAAUCAUGUCUAUCCUAAAUACUUAUGGACUAUUUAUACUGAGUCAAAUUAGCACUUACACAUACUCACAAAUUAGAAUAUUUUAGAGUUAAGUUUCAUAUCAGAUUUCAACAAACAGGUAUUUCAGUGCUGUCUGUUUAGUUAAAUGCUAUUUGUUACUGUGUUUCAUUCAGCACUUUAGUGUUUUGCUGUAAGGACUGUGUAAUGAAGAAGCCAAUAAACAAGCAAAUAAGAACCAUAAGAUUUUUCCUUAAGAAUAUCGAAAACCAUUUUGGGUAAAGCCUUUCCUUCCUGUCUGCCAUAAGCUUUUUGUGUGUGUGUAGUAGUGGAUAACUCACUUAAAUGAGAGCGUGCUCAUUAACCAUUACUUUUGUUAUAACAAAAUCUUAUCUCAUCUGGAAUCAGACCUGCUGGCUGCAUCCUCUUCUCAUCUACAGGAAAACAGGACAACCACUGGGGAAUUCUGAAUUAUGUAUUCCUUGAGCAUUUAGUUGAACACAAAGGCUGACAUUCAACUCACAGCUAAAAUCAUCAGUCCUUCUUCCUGGUUUGUUUUUAAGGCACAAGUCAAGAAUGUAGGCCUGUACUCUGAGAAGCUGGGCUGCCCUCUGGAUUUCUUCUACUUCUCUAUUUAUCCUCCUUUAAUUUUCUCACUGAUGAAGCCUUGUUCACCACCGUCUUUCUCCACGGGCAUAACAAGCAGCACAGAAUUUCUUUGGAAAGCCCUUUGUCAUCACCAUUCCUUUACAGCCAGAUGUAAUGCUAUGAAGUGACACAGUAUACUGCAAAACCACGGCUGGGAAAUGAAGAUGAUGUCACUGCAUCUUCAAAGCAGGAAAAUACCCUCUUCUCAAAGUAGAUGCUGCAGUCUGGGGCAUCACAUAGGAUUAACAGCAGAAGGAGCCCAGUCCUCAAAGCUAAUGAAAAUGCUGUUGGUGAAGGUCAGGAAGGCGUGUACAGAACAACAGCGUGGCCUCUGUAAAUAAAGCACCGGCACACAGCGCACUUACUGUGCCACUCCUCAUCCCUGCAGACUAAUUGUCUCUGAUGAAGACUUUAAUUGUUCCAUGACUGCUGACGUGUUUAAUUAAAGGCUCACAUGGCUACGUCUUUGGUGAGAAAAUGUGAAGCAAUCACAAACAUGAAUAAGGUAAGAAAUCACAAAGGUACGCUCAGAAGCAAAACAUUCAAAUGCUCUCUGGUGCAGUAUUGCAGCAGAACACCAGUGAGUGAGUUUCCGCCUGACCUUAAAAUUCAGUUCAGUUCUGGGGGGAGAAAAGACCAGCACGGACAGAGUAAGUCAUCUGACCACAGGAAGCUGUGUUGACAAAAAUUCAUACAGUAGAAAUUGGAAACCCACGCUCCAAAGCUUUCUUGUAUUAACAGUUCAGUGUCCAACUCUGUGGUAUGUAAUUUAUGGUGAAUUCUCUAAUACAGUCCAGCCUUGCAUAUUUUGCCAUUUAUUAUUCUUACUUAGAAAGUGGCAAAGACCAAGUUAUCUAUCUGAUUCCUGAAGCCAUAUUUAUUUAUUUAUUUUACCAUUUUUAAUAUAUACCUCUCAUGGUAACUGUCCAUAGCCUCCACUUUUGUCAGAUCUCUAUUUUCAGUCCUUGUUGAUGGGCCUGUUCGGGCUUACUUGUUUUUGCAGUCUUGUGGGGUGUUUUUUUUUAGAGACAGUAAAAUUUAGGGGAAUUGGAUGUUUGCAUGUGGAGUUGAGGCAGUUGAGCAGAAACACGGACAGAAUUAUGUUGUUUCUUCAUUGGUUUUUAUGAAAGUUUCUUCUAAAUACAGCUCUGGACUGACUCCUGACCUCAUCCUUUGGGAUUUAAUCUAGGAAAAGGCAUCCAUAAAUCCAUACUCAGAAUGUUUUGUCUAUAGACUCGUCUAUACUUUGUGUUUUAAAAGUAGAUUUCUUUGUCGCUGAUGGUCCCUUAGUAACUACAAUAGCACCUAAGCAUCUUGGUGUAAUAGUUUCAUGGGUUUUGUGUAUUGAAACCCUCUUGUUUCAGAAAUUGAUUGUGUGAAAAGGCGUCCUGUAAAACCUCUUGGUAAGUCCCAUUUUGUUUUUUAAUAUCUGCAAAAACAAAGUGAGUGCCCAUUCCCCUGGGAGCUCUGGAGAUAUGUUAGAUGCCAAGAGUUGCAUAUUUGAAACUGGUCCUACAGUAGAGCAAGUAAAUGUUAUCAAUAUGCUUUAUUUGGGAAGGGUUCCUUGGCCAAAGAAGGGCUUUAACAACUAGAAAGAGGAGAGAGUCUGCAGAAUAUGAAGGUAUUGAUGAGGAGGAUAAGCAGCGUGUUACAGAUUGGAUAUCCACAGGGAUGAAAGGAGAAGGAGCAGUGAGUGAGCCCCAUGAUGGCUGCUGCAGAAAAGGGUGACCGUAUCCUUCGAAGCCUCUGCAUCAGAUGGGAACGCAGAUAUCCACAGCCUGGGGAAUAGCGGGAGGGGUGCUCUGCAGGGAUGGAGCAGGGGGAAAUCAAACCCAGAAAUGGGGAAAUUGAACUUUGUCUGACAGAGAGAAGGAAAUGAAUUAUCAGCGCACAGAGACCGAAAGAAGGACUUUUAAAAAGUUAUUUCAAGAUGCAAAUGCUUCCUUUAUUGUUUCCUAUUUGCAUUUUAAAGUACUUCAGUAUCAGAGCUGAGGCAUCUAGAGAGGGCAAACCUGCCUCGGGUCAGCUCAGAGGUCACGCAGAGGAGUAUUCAAAACAUGUUUGUCAAAAAGGUAAGCCUCACCAAGUUUGCUUUCAACUUGAACAGCCUGUUGCUCCAAGAGCUAUUUGAGACUACUCUCAAUGAAAAACAGAGGUGGAGAGAAAGGUCGAUUCUUUUGGCUCUUAAUUUUUCAUGCGUACAUAUUUUCACGUUGCUUUUUAAGAAAAAAAAAACAAAAACCCUGCCAUUGAUUGCCUGGGUCAACAAGGAAUAAAAAAUAUGGAUUUAAAGAAUGAACAGCACAAACCUGAGUGUUCAUCACUGCUUUAAAUCCCAUUGGAACAGAGCGGCUCUAGAGCUGUGCCUGUGGGUGCCAGUAUGGCAGCAGGCAGUGAGCGCCCAAACCCUGCAGCAACGCUAUUGCCCCAAGUGAAGACCUCGCCCAGUGACCCCAACCUGCUCCCACAUGCUCUGACCUGCAGGCAGCCAUUUCUACACGAACAUACAAAAGGUCUUUGCCAGUUGUGGUAUGGUGCAAAAAUAAAGGAAAUCUCCCUCUUUGCCCGUUAUAAUGAUUUGUGUGUUUCCAGCUUAUUCUAACUCACAGCUCAGCGUACGGGCAACAAUGCUUAAUUACAUUGAGGCCAAGAUGAAACUGGAGGAGCCUGGUAACCAUGGAGAUCAGUGAUCAAUAAUAUAAUACUAUUUGUUUAUAAAUUAUCCAUAGCCCCUGUAUCCUUUUGUAAAAGGCAAGUGAGAUCCAGGCAACACAUUGAAUUUAUAAUUAUUGUCUGAAAUAAAAUGUGAUUAUGCUUUCUGUGGGUGACUACCUGCCCAUUAAUAACAUUAUUUUCAGAUCAUUCAAUACGAUAUGGAUCGGUGGAGAUAACUGUGUUUGGAGGGGAAAUAUAAAGCUGCUCAAUAAAGGGGAGGCCAGAAAGAUACAUCUGAAGGCCGGCAUGUGGAAAGUACUGCUUUCAACCAGAAGUCUCAGUAGAUACAACUGAGCUGUGUUAGACUUGUGGUGUGAUUAGGGGAACGUCCUAAAAGCUUACACACCAUUCACAAAGCACAAAGCACGUUACCAAAUCCUUCUCCAGGAACAACAUCCUCAUUGUGAAGCUCUGAAGGUAGCAGCUGUAAUGUGAAGACCGUCUCAGACAAUGAUGAAGAAGAUUCUGGAGGGGUUUUCAAACCUUUUAGUUGCUUUUCCUUUUGGAUAAUUAAGGCAUGUUCUGAGUUUUUUAUCCUCCUCCUUGCUUUUAUAUAAGCAACUCAUUAGUUUUACGCAGUAGUUUUCAUUGGAAAGCCAAUAGUCAUCAAAAUUUAAAGUUUUCAUAUGCUUUCCUAUUCUGGUUUAUUAGGGUGGGAAAACGAAGUGGUUUUCACCUCCUUACAACCUAUUUCAGUGUUUCUGUGGUAUUUCCACAUUUUUAAUACUUCCAGUUUCUUUUCAAAACCACUUUGCUAAAAAAUGUGGAAAUGAUUUUUUGAUAUCAUCCAUUUUCAUGUAAUGCAUGUAAUGCAAACCCGUCAAUGACCUGCUUUGUGUUUCACUUCAUGAUGAGUUUGUUUCCCUUCAGUUGGGAAUGAUACUUGAAGAAAUCUUCCACAGAAUAUGAAGUCUGCCUCCCCAGCAGCAUGAAAGGCACAGUGUGGGGAAGUGGGAGCCAUUUCACCACCAUCUACUGGAGUGUUUUAGUCAAACUAGAGACUGAAUGAACGCAAGGGAUGGAAUGAUGUUCCAGAAUAAAGAUAUAGUUACGUGAUCUGCACUGAGAGGAUGAGAAUUAACUGGUUAUGACAAAUCCCUCUGUUGCAACGCUUACAUAAUAUUUAUGUAAUUGUCAUAACAAAUCCCACUUUUGUGACUCCUCACAAGCGAAGUGAAAGCAGUUACACUGCUGCUGAAUGUGAGCUUUGGAAGGGAUACUCAGAGAUGCAGGAUUCUGUUGGAUGAGAGGCUGGACAAGUACGUUCUUGAAGCAUGGAAGGCAAAUGGUAUCCCGGGCUGCAUCAACAGAGUGGUGGCCAGCAGGGAGAGAGAGAGAUGAUUGCAUCCCUCUACUCUGCUCUUGUGAGGUCCCAUCUGCAGUACUCAUCCCAGUCCUGGGGGCUCCAGGAAUAUCUUGUCGCAAUCUUCCAGUACCUGAAAGGAGCUUACAGACUUACACAGAUUAUAGUGAUAGGACAAGGGGGAAUGGAUUUAAGCUGGAAGAGGGAAGGUUUAGGUUUAGGUUAGCUGCUAGGAAGAAAUUCUUCACUCAGAGAGAGGUGAGGCACAUGAAUGAGCUGCUCAGAGAAAUUGUGGAUGCCCCAUCCAUGGAAGCAUUCAAGGCCAGGCUUGAUGGGCUCCUGGGCAGCCUGACCUUGUGGCUGGCAACUCAUCCCACAACAGGGGCACUGGAACUAGUGACGACCUUUGAGGCCUCUUCCAACCCAAGCCAUCCUAUGAUUUGGAGAUUCUGUGAUUCUGUGCCAAGAUCCCCUCACAUCAGCCCAUACUGCCGCCCUGCUGGGGCUAUCAGCACCACGGGGCUUCAGCAUCCUCACCAGAUGGAUGGUUGAAACACACAGAAAAAGGCUCAGAAAACAAUACAAUGUCUGUCUGCUCAGCAGAGGAGAGAAAAGGUGAGACACUGUUGCCUAAAAAUAGAGAUGAGCUACAGCUGCAGGGUGAGCCCUGUUGAUGAGAGCACACCAGUCGCUCUCUGGCUGCUUGGCAGGCACCAGGCACACACACAGCUUGUUGUUAAGCAGCAUGGAAAGCAGUCAUGAAUGAGUCGACUUUCUCCCUGUCCAUUUUUAGUCUUACUGCAAAGAAGAGGUCACCAGAAUUCCUUUUCCCUGAGCUUCAGUCUUGGAAAUAGCUGAGCUGCUUAGAAUUGGAAAGGAAAAAAAAAGGAGUAGGAAAAUAAGAAAUGUAGACAACUAUAGAUGAAAGACAAGAGCUGUGUUUAGAUGUGUCUCCUUCCCAAGAGGGAUCACCGCUUCUGACCAGAUUUUGACAGUUCUUUCAUUAUGAUGGUUUUCUCCACAUUCAGCACGUAAAAUCCAUCACUGGGAGAGGGAUGAGGAUGGAGAGCAAAGAGAAGGCAGCAAUGGGAACAAUAAACCAUUUGGUUCCUGCUGGAGAACGUACCUGUAUAUAACUGAUGGACUACCUGGUAAUGGAGCUGUUGACAACAGAUGUGGCAAAAUGACAGGAUUGCAGCCAGCAGAGCCACAGGAAGCAUCUGAUAUCUGAACUGAAGAAGAAAAUUUCCAUGGAAAAUCUGAAGAAUAAUCAUUUUACCAUCCAUCCGUCCAUCCAUCCAUCCAUCCAUCCAUCCAUCCAUCCAUCCAUCCAUCCAUUCAUCCAUCCAUCCAUCCAUCCAUCCACCCACCCACCCAUCCACCCUUUCUGUAUAUAUACCUUUAGUUAAAACACACUUAUAUUAAAAUAUCUCCAUGAUGAGGACAAGGUACGGGCACCAGCUGGCAGCUCAGUGUUAGGAAGGAUGCGUGAGCUCAUGAGGACGCCUUCUCACAUACAUGGAGAAAGAAGCAGAUGAAAAAAACUGGGUGCUGGCCUACAACAAAGCUCGCCCUUCCCUCCUGCGUGGAUGGAAACAAGGAUGACUGAGAUUAUAAUGAAGCACACCGGCAUGAAGAAAGCACAGAAAGGAGGUUUGUGUCAGAGAAAUUUUCCUCUCAAACCUUCUGGCCUGGGCUGAGCCUUCAGACCAUGAGGCACCUAAAAAUUCAGGUCGGAUGUAUAUGGGACAAAAAGUUCAAGGGUGGAAAUUCUCAGAUAGGGAUCUCCACUCUUCUUUGUUUACUCCAUAUUUCAUCGUCUCCAUAACAUAAUAAACAAUGUCGAAGAGGCUGCCUCUAGGUCAGAGGAGUUUAAGAUCAAUAGAUAUGUACAGGGGGAAAGGUAAACAGAGCAACCCAAGUGUUACUGAGUUACAUGGACUACUCUGUUAGAGACUGACAGAUUACGGGUCCUGAUCUCCAGUCUGAAAUGAUGUAUCAGAAGGGAAUGGUAUUUCAAAGAACAUUUUAAGCACUGUGUUCAUAGGGUGUUUCUUUAAAGAAGAAGACCGUCAGUCUGUGUAUGAGUGAAAACAACUUCUGGAGGCAAGGUGAUGCAGCAUGUCCCAUAAAGGCCUUGCUCAGUCAAUUGCAAUUUGCCUGAAAACACGAUAAUGUAUUCUCAAGUUUCCAAGCAAGAGCCAAUCCUUCACUUGAAUUAUCUCACCUGUUCAAGAAGGGUACGCUGGUUGGCUUCUAUUUUUCCUAACAAUUACUUUUGUUCUGGGGAAAAUAAUCUUCAUACAGGUAAGCUGCUCUUGCGGUGGAUGUUAGGAACAUCGUUCCUAUUGCAUGCCAUGAAGUUGAGGGUGUGUUCAACACCACCUAAGUCAUCACCAGAGACUGCUUUCUUGUAGUCACUGUGCACGUCCUCUUACACAUAGCCAGAGUCCCGUUGCUACAUGAGCUCCUCACGGACAAGUCCCAUCUGACUUAUUUUUGAUGUCCAUGAUGAACAGAUCAGUCUUGGGAUGACUUCCUCUUAUAGGAGACAGACUUUCUCACCUUGGCCAAAACCUGUAAUACUGGAAAAGGGUUCUACUCCCAGACACUCUUUCAGAUUUGUACAAAUGAACAGCCAGAACAAAUGUGCCAUACUUUUUAUUUGCUUUUAUUUAAUGGUACAAAAAUAACCACAGCAUGAAUAGAGGUGAUUUCACCAGCCAAUCUCUAAGUAAAGUAAAACACAGCAGCCACUUCUGGUCAUUCAAUCAUUUUACAGGUGUCUUAGAUUUAAAUCUAUCCUUCUAUGUCACUAAGAUUCAAGGUGAGUAUUAAUACUGAUUUCCAGUGUAAAGCAUUUCAGCAAUCUACAGCAGAACAUUACACCUCAGUUCCUCAAUCAGCAGCUUCUUAUUUGAUGCCACUUAAAAAUCCAAUGGCAACAACCAGCUUUGAAGCAGUUACUGUAACCUGCCUACUGUGAGCGGAUGCGCGUACUGCACACUACAUGCUGUAGAGGAAGUAAUUGUAAAUCCCUCUGUUAAUCCAAUAUCCAUCGCCCGUAUGACAACUUCCCAGUUUGCCUGCCCCCGAGCCAUGAAUUAAACUGCAGCAUGAAUUAAACUACAUGAAAAUGCAGAGAAUAUGUUAACCUUGUAGAUGAAAUUUUAGCUGUAACUGAUCUAAAAUAUCUGCAAGUACCGUAACACUAAUUGUAAUAAAAUUUGGCCAUCCUUUCUGGGAUAAAUUUAAUGCAUGUGUUCCACUCCAUCCUACCAAGCAGAGGGAGAAGUGUAAAUGUUUUUUAUUUGAGGGAUAACUGAAGGAGAACUAAGCAAACGACGGAAGACAUUAAAGUCAAACAACAACAAAAAGCACCCUUUGUCUCAGCGGGUAAGAUAAAUAUCACAUAUUUGACAAAAAGCCCUAUCUAAACAUAUAAUGGUUAAAAUCAGAGCUACGGGAAUCUAAAAAUGUCUUUAAGAGCAGAGUAAGCCAAGCAGAUGCACCAGCAGUUUCUAAAAACAGAUGAAAAAGGAAAUUACAGCAUAGUUUCCAAAGCAGCACACAUUGCUCCAUUUGCUUGAGCAGAACAGACAACCAGCAGAUCUCCUCACAAAAGGGGGUGGCACAGCGCUCAGACUGAAGUCCCAGCAUCUUCUGCGGUUCUGAUCUGUAUCAGUUCAUUUAGACAAGCAGCUCCCUUCCCCUCACCAUGGCCCAUUUCACCUGAGCCUUCUUUCUGAGCCCAUCUGCUUCAAACUUCUUUUCACUGUAAUUUAGAAGGACGCCUACAUCCAACCCCUCGAAAUGGUCAGAAGAACAUUUGGAUACAAGUGGCAACUCUUGUCAUGAAGCUGAUACCCACACAGGGUUGGAUGAGGGAUGUUUAUAAUUGAUACACAUCCUUUUUCGUUUGUUUGCUUACUUGUGAGCAGUUUCUUUUAUGUUCUGUUAUUGAAGUACAUGUGCUGACUGACUUAAGAAGACAGCCUUGUAAAUGAGAUCUUUGAUCUCAAGAGUUUAUUUUAUCUUUGCAGAAAGGAAAAGUGAGUUGAAUUGCCUGGCGGAACCAAAGCUUCUCUUUCUUCUGUUCUACAGCUGCUCCAUCCUUCUGGGCUCAUCAUCACUUCCACUUCCACCAAUAGAUUCCCUAUUUUGUCCAAGAAUUAAAAAGGCUUCUCCAGCAACUCACCACAGCUGGCAGCACAAGGCUGAAAGCUCUGCAGCUUCUGGUUCUUGUAGGAACCACACAGCAUGCUCGCACAGUUUUACUUCUGUAGGAGGAAUGUAUUUGACAAACUGCUGAACACUGAUACAGCAAAGCUCUUUGAGUUACUCUGAUGCCUCAUUAGAAAGUAAACUUGAAUAUUCAUUGCACUUCUGUGGUGAAACACAGACUAGAAAGACUACAGCCUGGAAGGCUGCGGACUGCAAACAAGCACUGGCUCUGAGAUGUUGAAAGAAGUACGCAGUCAUUACCUAUUACACUACCUGUAUGUGCCUGUUAAUGACAGAGGCAAUAACGCCAGGGAGCUUUGUGCUAUCUGCUGUAUGUACACAAAAAGACUCCACUGAGCACAAUACCAACACCAAUUUACUUCCCAGUUUGGAUCACCAAUACGAUAGUGUUGCUGUAUUGUUACCAUCUGCAUUUCAUUUUGUUCCUGCAUUUUCCUUAAAGCCAAUUUUAGCUACUACGACAAAAACUCCUUCGCAUAUCCUUGCCAUCCUUCCCCCCCUUUAGUUUGAUUUAAUUCCACCAUGUGUUCUUUGUUCCAAACAACAGAAAGGAAUACAGGAAACAUGAGGACUCUGCCAUUUCACUGUAGGUAGAUACUUGUACAAAACCAGUAGUUUCCAAUUGCCUCAAAGUAAUUGCAUGCAGAACAGCCAGGCUUAGUCAAGACCUUCAGCCCUCCCCAGGAAAGCAGGAAAGUUUGUCACUAAAGCAUCUCAGAAAGUUUGAAACAUUAUUUCUGAGAGUUGUAUUGACUGCUUAAACCAUUUAUACAUGGAGGAAAACGCUUCUGCACGCAGACCUAAGGACUUCAUCCACAGAGGUCAAAGCAGUGCUUUGGAUCUUAUUGCUUUUUGGAUCUUAUUCCAUCUCAGCAAGGCUCAUCAGCACGUGCUGAAGAAUUAAAACAGUCUUACUCACUGGCAUCACACAGAGCAAAGGGAAUAUCAAACACACAACAUAAAAUUUGCUCCCCGCUAAACUAAAUAGUGAGGCGCCAUGCCUUGAAUUUCCUUCUUAGACCCACGGAGUCUGAAAAUGAUGAAAUUCCAAAUCGACAAAAAUCAAAGUUGUGUUUUAUGAGCAGCAAUGCUUCCCAAUUAGCUGUCUGUUAACAGGAACAAGGUAGUGUCUUUUCUCCCCUUGCAGUAAGGAUGAAUACUUACAUUGCUUCUUUUGGAUGGCUCUGAUUCAGCCAGAAGGAAGGCUAACAAAGUGCCUAUGCAAAAAGGGUCCCCUUUGCAGGAUGAAGGCUGAGUCUAUUUUCUGGAAACAGUCUCAUCUCUGUAAGAGAUACUGAAAAGAAAGAGGCAGUUCUCUAGAAGAAUCAAAGGAAGGAAAUAUCUAAGAAAGAAUAUGGCCUCAGUGGAUAAUGGGGAGACUCACAAUGCUGCUUCAAGGAAUGCGACACUGAUGGGAAGAAAUUAGGCCCGAUGUACCUAUGGCUAACUUUGUGAGCUCGUUAUGCUCACAGAAAUUCAUCACAGCAGACGGGCUGAGCAAAUCCAACAUGGCUUAUUAAACUUUCCUUUUCCUUUUGUGCCCUUUGGUGCUUAGAAGGAGUCUGCCUUUGGAUUUUAAGGAGUUACUCACCAGGCUCAGCCUCUGUUGCUGUAGCAGAUACAUGUCAGCUUUGAAAGGAAAUCUGGUUAAUCUGGAAUCGCCCUGUCACCAGUUGUACUGUUGCAGUUCCCUGAGAAGGGAAGGAGUCAGCCCCUGUUAGUUGCCAUUCUGGUUCCUCUCUGUACUCACUAGGCUGAGAAAACCCAAAGCAAGAUGGAUGAUUAUGUCAUAACAACAGGGCAGUGAGGAGGAGAGGAAAGCAGUUUCUCAAGCACAAGCGUCAUGCUAUUGUUCUGAACAGCCCGCUCGUCCCGCACAGGGAGGCUGCUUCAGCUUUUUGUGGGCAUGACAGGUUCUCCAGCUAACAAUGCAAUAAACUGCGUGUUAUUUUGAGCUGCUGUAACUAGCACAGUGAUUACACUCUCUGCCUUUCACCCUUUUUUUUUUUUGCUCUAGGGUCAAAACCUCUCAUCCGUGACCACACAAGCAUGCACUGCCAGCUGUGGUAUCAAGGUUCAGGUCGUACUUUAUAGAAAACAACAGAAAGGGGAUCUGUAACCAUCUCCUUGACUGACCUCCUGUGCACAGCAUUGUCUGGUUCCACUUCUGAGUUUGUCACCAGGGAGCUGUCUGUAGGGAUGGGCUCACACUCAGCCUUCCGUAGAGCUGCUCUGGAUGCAAUUAUUCUUUGAUUUACCUUUGAACAUGUGGGCUUUGGUCUCCUUUUUCUACAUUUAAAAUUAGACUGUUCCAGAGGCCUGUAUUUACCACUUCUCCAGAGGAAAUAAGAAGUGUCUUGUUAUGUUUGAUUUAUUAGAAAGCUCCAUAAGGAAGCCAUCACAUAAAGCAGAGUACAUCUCUUGUAAGGAAAACGUACAGAACUGCAAAGGAAACUCAGAAUAUCCCAUGAACCAAACUCUACCAAACAAACUAUUUAAUAAAAGAGUGAAGGCAGAGUAAAGUGUCCACUAAUGGCAGUAACAAAGCUCCCAUUUACAGCAUUCCACCAGCACAGGAUCAUACCUCAGGCUUUCAUCAUUAGCUCUGGAGUUGACAACCUGUCUUAACUCCGAUGUUGCUGAUAUCAGCUAUGAAAUAUCUUUCAGUUCUGUCUAAACAAUUUACAUACAUACCCGUAACACAAUGCAAACAGCUUUAUUCCAGCUCUUAUUUGAAUAUACAGAAUAUACAGAAAAGACUGGCUGGGGCAUUUUACUACUCAGAUCUCAAUAUUGAUUAUAUUAUAACAGUUUAUACUUCCCUUCUUUAAAAUGAGUGGCCUAAUGUUGGAGCAUAACCAUUCAGCAUUUGCUGACAGUGACUGAUAUGCAUUUACAGCAUUAUACACUUCUAUAUGAAUUGAGACUGUUUGAAAUCUUUCAUUUUCUGAAGAUUCUGUACCAUCUUCAUGUUAUUAGCAGGCAAGUCCAUAAAUCUUACUAAUUUAUAACAGUCUAAGUGUCUUUUUUUCUUAUCCCAGUGGGAAGAAGUUCACCUUUGUGGUCUGGAUACCAUUAAGCUUCAAUCUACUUUUUAUGGAUGAUGUUAAGCAAGGGAGAGCCUCAACCCUUGCUAAAGAGAGGGCAGCAAGGAGAUGCACUCCAGUACCCCUGCUCGUUAUGAGAACUUGUGCUAUGUGCAAAUGUUAACCUUUAUGGAACACAGCUAAAGAUGCAGGCCAAAUGCUUAACCUACCGACCAUAUUUCUCACCAUGGGUGAAUGCAACCUCCUCCUCACACUCUUUUGCAUCUUCUUUUCUUUUAAAAGGACACCACAUUGGCUUGUGAGCCUAACAGAGCACGGCUCUGACAAGAUAUAAUUAUUUUAGAUGGAUUAUCUAGCUUUAAUCAAAACCGAAUGCAAAAA